CGGCCGUAGCGCGGUGGUCCCACCUGACCCCAUGCCGAACUCAGAAGUGAAACGCCGUAGCGCCGAUGGUAGUGUGGGGUCUCCCCAUGCGAGAGUAGGGAACUGCCAGGCA
rnacentral:rRNA from 2 species